CGGAGCGUGUGAAAGCUGGGCGGGAGCCUAGUGCUCGCGGACCAGCUCCUGGAGGAGGAACGCGGCCUGUGGUCUGGGCCGCCGCUUGCUGCCGCCGCCGCUUGCUGCCGCCGCCGAGCGGUACCUUGUUCCAAGGAGCUGCUGCCAAUCAAGUGCACCUGAAAUGAAGCUGACUUGCUUUCCUGGGUGAACAUAUUUGGGAAAAGUAAGGAAUGUAAAAGGAGCAAAACAGUUGUGAAAAAACACAAACGGUAAAAGUCAAGAUAUUAUAGUCCUAUUCCUUAUGUGGGAGAAGAAGGAAAAAUGAAACUAAUAGAAAACUCCAUCCCAGAAAUACCUGAGAGGAGGAAGGAGGCUGACGUGCAAAGAAAAGGAGGGAAACAUAAGAGAAGGUAAAGCUAUGAAGCUGGUCCAUAGAUUUAAAUAAUUAGAGGGAGGGCUGGCGGUAAUCUUUGUGCGUUACCCCAACAAACUGCAGGAACAGGUAAGGCAUUAAACAUGGUGUGUUUUAACACCAGGUGAUGACUUCUGUGAAAGUUAAA